rnacentral:tRNA from 1 species
GGAUAUAGCUCAGUGGUAGAGCGUGUGCUUAGCAUGCACGAGGUCCUGGGUUCAAUCCCUAGUACCUCCA